rnacentral:rRNA from 1 species
GAUGAACGCUGGCGGCGUGCUUAACACAUGCAAGUCGAACGGAAAGGCCCUGCUUUUGUGGGGUGCUCGAGUGGCGAACGGGUGAGUAGCAUGUGAGUAACCCGCCUUUGACUUUGGGAUAACUUCAGGAAAGUGGGGCUAAUACCGGAUAGGAGCUCCUGCUGCAUGGUGGGGGUCGGAAAGUUUCGGCGGAUGGGGAUGGACUCGCGGGUUAUCAGCUUGUUGGUGGGGUAGUGGCUUACCAAGGCUUUGACUGGUAGGCGGCCUGGGAGGGUGACCAGCCACAAUAGGACUGAGAUACGGCCCAGACUCCUACGGUAGACAGCAGUGGGGAGUAUUGCACAAUGAGCGGGAGCCUGAUGCGGCAACGCCGCGUGCGGGAUGACGUCCUUCUGGUUGUGAACCGCUUUCACCUGUUACGAAGCUUGAGUGACGUUAAUAGGUAAAGAAGCACCGGCUAACUACGUG